rnacentral:rRNA from 1 species
GAUGAACGCUGGCGGCGUGCCUAAUACAUGCCAGUCGAGCGAACAGAUGAGGAGCUUGCUCCUCUGACGUUAGCGGCGGACGGGUGAGUAACACGUGGAUAACCUACCUAUAAGACUGGGAUAACUUCGGGAAACCGGAGCUAAUACCGGAUAAUAUAUUGAACCGCAUGGUUCAAUAGUGAAAGACGGUUUUGCUGUCACUUAUAGAUGGAUCCGCGCCGCAUUAGCUAGUUGGUAAGGUAACGGCUUACCAAGGCAACGAUGCGUAGCCGACCUGAGAGGGUGAUCGGCCACACUGGAACUGAGACACGGUCUAGACUCCUACGGGAGGCAGCAGUAGGGAAUCUUCCGCAAUGGGCGAAAGCCUGACGGAGCAACGCCGCGUGAGUGAUGAAGGUCUUCGGAUCGUAAAACUCUGUUAUUAGGGAAGAACAAAUGUGUAAGUAACUAUGCACGUCUUGACGGUACCUAAUCAGAAAGCCACGGCUAACUACGUG